rnacentral:lncRNA from 1 species
AAUCAUCUUCAUCUUCCCUCAACCAGCUGACCAUCAUAUUUUUAUGGGAGCUCUCUCCCUUUUUCAAUUAUUCUUGCAUUUUGCUUUCAAAAAUACACAAAAAUCUCACCACCUAUUUUGAGAUUCUACUAAAAUCUCUUAGAAAAUUACUUUCUACUCUUAUUUUCAUCAUCAAUCCUCCACUUUUCAGCCAUGGUUUUUAUGGGAUUUAAUGUGAGAAAUUAAGGUUUGAGAGAGAAAGCUUCAACAAAGUAAGAAUGGUGUUUUUCUACCUCUUUUCACAUUAUAUUUGAGUUAAAAUGUUACGAGAAAGUUUAGAAAGAUAUUAUAUUAAUAUUUUGGUAUAUUUUUUAUGUAUAGAUAAUUAGGGUAUGUUGAGAAUGAAGUUUCCAAGAUUAGAUGUGCAUAGGUUCGAGCUUGGGAAGAUUUUCUUAGGUUUUAGAGCAUCCAAAGAUAAAUACCUUUGGAUAUUCUUAACUUUUUUUUAUGUUAAAAUGUUUAGGAAAUUGAUAAAAAUAUUUUAAUAAUUAUGAAAUUCAUUAUGAGAUAUGUAGGUAUAAAGUUCAUAGUUUAAUUAUGUGAGAACAUGUAAUUGAUAUGUUGUAGUAAAAUACUUAGUUAUGAAAUGUCAUGUUCAUUAAUAUUGUGUUAUAAAAAUUUUGGAUGGCCAUGAAAAGAUUAAUAAAUAUAUUUGGAAAUUUGAGAAAAUUAUGAAAUAUGAUAUUAAUGUGAAAUGGUAUUAAAAUACAAUGGUAUGGUACAUUGGUUAAUUAUUAAAGAUGGAUCUGAAUGGAAAUGAAAUUAUAAAAUUGUUUGAUAAAAUGAUCGAUAUAAUGACUUGAUCACCUAAAGAGUAUUGAAUAUGUGAAUGAG